AACUUCAAGGAAUUGGACGGGGGCCCGCACAAGCGGAGGAACAUGUGGUUUAAUUCGAUGAUACGCGAGGAACCUUACCUGGGCUAGAACGCAAUCGGAAUCAGGCCGAAAGGUCUGCGCCAGCGAUGGCCGGUUGCGAGGUGCUGCAUGGUUGUCGUCAGCUCGUGCCGUGAGGUCCGUCGGGUUAAGUCCCGUAACGAGCGCAACCCUUGUCCUUAGUUACCAGCACGUUAUGGUGGGCACUCUAAGGAGACUGCCGGUGACAAACCGGAGGAAGGUGGGGAUGACGUCAAGUCAUCAUGGCCCUUACGGCCUGGGCUACACACGUGCUACAAUGGUCGGUACAAAGGGUUGCCAAGCCGCGAGGUGGAGCUAAUCCCAUAAAACCGAUCGUAGUCCGGAUCGCAGUCUGCAACUCGACUGCGUGAAGUCGGAAUCGCUAGUAAUCGUGAAUCAGAAUGUCACGGUGAAUACGUUCCCGGGCCUU
rnacentral:rRNA from 1 species